ensembl:lncRNA
AUGUGCAACACUUCUGCACAUGUCAAAGACCGUGUAUUAUUUAGGUCUCGACUGAAUAUCUUGUUUUGUAAGAUAGUCAACAGUUUUUUGUCUUUUUUUUUCAGUUUCAACUCUAACAGUCGAAUUGUGUUAACCUUACAGUUACCGUGGUCCCUCCACGAUCUAUGCAAUAUCCAGAUACACCGGCAUACCUUGCACAAUCUGAUGGCAAAGAAACAUUCCCAAGGGGAGAUUAUGAUGCAGAACGAGACCCACGGGAAGAUUAUGAUGACAAUUCGGACAGUGGUAGUGGAAUGUCUAAAGACCCAGGAUCCUCAGUUUCCCCAGAAGAACCGGGGAAAAAUGCUGCUGAUGGAAAUGGUCCCCUAGCUAACCUGUGUGUGCUCUGUGCUGCUGCAGCUUUGUAUCUGCUAGCAUAGCAUUAUUAAAAAAAUCUGCAUUUUUGCUCAAUGUAAUUUAUUGUUCAGCAUCUGCGUUGUCAUGUUCAAUUGCUAACAUGUUUAAGCACAUUUGUAGUCAAAGCUGUAAAUAAAAAAA